rnacentral:rRNA from 1 species
CCAGCAGCUGCGGUAAUUCCAGCUCUAAUAGCGUAUAUUAACGUUGUUGCAGUUAAAAAGCUCGUAGUUGAAGUUAUGAUAUGUCCUUUUAAAUUUCUGCAUUUUUGCCUUCGGGUGAUGGUGUAGUGUUUUUAGGCAUGUCGUAUUUUUGCUGUUUUGAUGUAAGUGACUUCACUGUUGCUUGCAGCUUGCAGCAUAUUACUGUGAAAAAAUUAGAGUGUUCCAAGCAGAUGUAUAUCUGAAGAGUUUAGGAUGGAAUAAUGGAAUAGGGGAGAUUGCCAUAUCGUUGGUUUUGGGGUGAUUUCUGAUGAUGAAUAGGGACAGUUGGGGGCAUUAGUAUUUAAUUGUCAGAGGUGAAAUUCGAGGAUUUAUGAAAGACUAACUUCUGCGAAGGCAUUUGCCAAGGAUGUUUUCA